rnacentral:rRNA from 1 species
CCAGCACGUUAUGUGGGGACUCGUGAGAGACUGCCGGGGUCAACUCGGAGGAAGGUGGGGAUGACGUCAAGUCAUCAUGCCCCUUAUGUCCAGGGCUUCACACAUGCUACAAUGGCCGGUACAAAGGGCUGCGAUGCCGUGAGGUGGAGCGAAUCCUUUCAAAGCCGGUCUCAGUUCGGAUCGGGGUCUCGACCCCGUGAAGUCGGAGUCGCUAGAAUUCGCAAAUUAGAACGCUGCGGU